rnacentral:misc_RNA from 1 species
CAAUAAGUGUUCAAUGGCACUUUAAAAUCCAUUACCCACCUUGUGUGCAAUGUAAGGAGGAGAGGGUUUGUCAGACUUCUUGUGUGGCUUUCCCCUCUUUCAUUAUACAUACCAAUCUUCUCUUGUUGUCUACUUUUUGAGUAUAAAAAACUCGAAUA